rnacentral:lncRNA from 1 species
CUCAUGUGACGCGGUAACAGCUGCGGCCUGAGUCACUGGGCCCGGCGCGGGGUGGGCCGAGCCCCCCGCCCGGCCAGGGCCACGUGGCCCCUACCCGGAAGAAGGCGCCCACCCCCGCAAAGGGAAAGCCGCAAGGGCAAGACCUCGGGGCGCCUGGGGCCCCCCUCUGGCGCUAUACCUCCGUGCCAACUCGGGGUAGGAGAGCGGGGCGGAGCGCAGCCUGGGUCACUCUGGUUCAGAGAAGCGGACGAGGGAUCCUAGUCUGAGAAAAGGGGAGGAAGCCCUUCCCCGAAGCCACGCUACCCAGUCAAUCAAGACACGUCCGCGUCGGGUCCCGCCCUCUGGGGGAGGAUUGACAAGGUCUGUGCUUCCAGCCUCCCAGACAGCUCCUGCAUCCGUCUGUGAUAGCGAGGGCUUGGGGGAAGACACGAAGGCAGGAGAGGCUUACAUCCUCUGGAUUUCCCCGUCUUAUCCCAGAAGACAAAGCCAGGUGAGGGCUGGAAGCGGGCUAGGGGGAUCAAGCUGCCUCCCUCCCUUGUGUGCCAGGGGUGGUCCCCAGAAGGAGCUGAUCUGAACAGGCCGGAGAGUAGGACCGGCCGUCACACCCCCACACCUCCAGCCUCGGCCCCACUCCUUGGGCUCUUAAGGUCCUGCCUCAAGAACCACUUCCUGAGUCUUAGUGUAUGUGUGUACACAAAGAAUGAAAGAAGUCUCUAGAGCUAAAGGAAGGAGAUCCGGGCUGGGCUGAGAAGCAUCUUCCAGGAUCACGGCCUUCCCGCGGGACACACCAAGCCCAUUCCGGAUCUUGCUCUUCCUGACCAUGGCUGGCAGGCUGUGGAGGAGGAGCGGAGAGCAGAAGAAAGGAGUAUUCAUCAGGUUCCUUAUUGUGCUGCCACUAGAUGCCAGGCAUGUGCUAGGCUUGGGGGCUGCAAGGAGAGGAAGACAGCGGCCCUGCCCUCUGCUAGCAGGCAGAACCGAGUUCUGGCCACACUGUGAAGAAAGGCAGAAGCCUGCGGUGGCAGCUGGUUAAGCUCAGAGGGAGGGAAAGGGAGAGGAGAAUGGAUUUCACGGAGCAGAAGGAUGUGCUCAAGGUGACCUUGGAGAAUAAAGGGGAGAGCUCCAGGGACAGAGAAGCAGUCGACUGUGGAAAAAAAAGGAGCAUUUUGUAAAGUACAUGGCAGGUUGGGGUUGGCUGGCUCAAAGGGCUUGGGACGGAUGUGGUGAGAUGGGCUGAAGGUGGUCUGAAGAUCAAGAUUGAGAGACUAGAUACAUAA